rnacentral:rRNA from 1 species
AACAAAAACAUGUCUUUUUGAAUUUAAUUUAAAGUCUAACCUGCCCACUGAAGUUUUAAAUGGCCGCAGUAUUUUAACUGUGCAAAGGUAGCAUAAUCAUUAGUCUUUUAAUUGAAGGCUGGAAUGAAUGGUUGAAUGAGAUAUUAACUGUUUCAUAUAAAUUAAUAAUAAAAUUUUAUUUUUUAGUUAAAAAGCUAAAAUUUGAUUAAAAGACGAGAAGACCCUAUAAAUCUUUAUAUUUAAUUAUAUAAUUAUUAUAUUGAUUAUUUAAAUUUUUAUAGAAUUAAAUAUUUUAUUGGGGUGAUAUUAAAAUUUAAAUAACUUUUAAUUUAAAAAAUACAAAAAUUAUUGAAUUAUUGAUCCAUAAAUAAUGAUUAAGAAAUUAAGUUACUUUAGGGAUAACAGCGUAAUUUUUUUAGAGAGUUCAUAUUAAUAAAAAAGUUUGCGACCUCGAUGUUGGAUUAAGANAAAAUUUAGGUGAAGA